GACGGAGACUGUGGAUACAAAGGUCCUGCUAAGUACAUUGGACAGCUCCCGGAACUCAGCGUCUUCCAAGGCGGAUGCAACAGACUGCAUUGGAACAGACUACACUGCAUCAGUCCACUCAUUCAUCUAGUGCAGCAGCAAUUCCCCAGGGUUCAAAACCUACCUGCAAAUGAUGAGGAUUGAACCUGGGACCGGUUGCAUGCCAAAUACACUGACGGGUAGAAAAAUAUACCCAGGGACCUGACAAGAGAGUAGGAUUGAAAUGUGAGCCAUACCCUUCUCUCACAGCUUCAGC
rnacentral:lncRNA from 1 species